CUCGGGAAUCCUCCAGAAAUGGGGGAGUGCCGCAAGGAACCCGAUGACAGGUGUUGCAUGGUUGUCGUCAGCUCGUGCCUUGAGGUGUACUGUUAAGUCAGGAAACGAGCGCAACCCUCAUCGUAUGUUGCUUAUUUCAUGCGAGACUGCCGACUCCAAGUCGGAGGAAGGUGAGGAUGACGUCAAAUCAGCAUGGCCCUUAUGUCCUGGGCUACACACGUGCUACAAUGGCCGGUACAAAGCGUAGCGAAACCGAAAGGUGGAGCCAAUCGCAAUCAAAACCGGUCUCAGUUCGGAUUGAGGGCUGCAACUCGCCCUCAUGAAGUUGGAAUCGCUAGUAAUCGUGAAUCAUCACGUCACGGUGAAUAUGUUCCUAGGUCUUGUACUCACCGCCCGUCAAGUCAUGGAAGAUAGGGGCACUCGAAGUUCCACAAUAAAGUGGACCUAAGGUGAAACUAUUGACUGGGACUAAGUCGUAACAAGGUAUCCGUAGGAGAACC
rnacentral:rRNA from 1 species